GCUAAUUCUGCUUCUACUUUCCCA
rnacentral:sRNA from 1 species